UCACCUGGCCCGAAGGGCCAAGUGAGCUUUUCUCAUCACUUGGCGUCCGUCGUCCGUCGUCGGCGUAAACUUUUUACAUUUUGAACUUCUUCUAGAGAACCACUGAAUGGAAUGAAACCAAACAUGGCAUGAAUGUUCCUUAUGAGGUGCUGACCAAGUGUUGUUACUUUGUAGCCGAUCCAUCAUCCAAGAUGGCCGCCAGCGGGGGACUUAGUUUAACAUAGGACCCUAUGGGAAAUGCAUACAAAUGACUUCUUUUAGAGAACCACUGAAUGGAAUGAAACAAAACAUAGCAUGAAUGUUCCUUACAAGGUGCUGACCAAGUGUUGUUACUUUGUAGCCGUUCCAUCAUCCAAAAUGGCCGCCAGUGAGGGACUUAGUUUAACAUAGGACCCUAUGAGAAAUACAUACAAAUGUCUUCUUUUAGAGAACCACUGAAUGGAAUGAAACCUAACAUGGCAAGAAUGUUCCUUAUGAGGUGCUGACCAAGUGUUGUUACUUUGAAGCCGAUCCAUCAUCCAAGAUGGCAACCAGCGGGGGACUUAGUUUAACAUAGGAUCCUAUGGGAAAUACAUACAAAUGUUUUCUUUUAGAGAACCACUGAAUGCAAUGAAACCAAACAUGGCAUGAAUGUUCCUUAUGAGGUGCUGACCGAGUGUUGUUACUUUGAAGCCGAUCCAUAAUCCAAGAUGGCCGCCAGCGGGGGACUUAGUUUAACAUGGGACCCUAUGGGAAAUACAUACAAACGUCUUCUUUUAGAGAACCACUGAAUGGAAUGAAACCAAACAUGGCAAGAAUGUUCCUUAUGAGGUGCUGACCAAGUGUUGUUACUUUGAAGCCGAUCCAUCAACCAAGAUGGCAGCCAGCGGGGGACUUAGUUUAACAUAGGAUCCUAUGGGAAAUACAUACAAAUGUUUUCUUUUAGAGAACCACUGAAUGGAAUGAAACCAAACAUGGCAUGAAUGUUCCUUAUGAGGUGCUGACCAAGUGUUGUUACUUUGUAGCCGAUCCAUCAUCCAAGAUGGCCGCCAGCGGGGGACUUAGUUUAACAAAGGACCCUAUGGGAAAUGCAUACAAAUGACUUCUUUUAGAGAACCACUGAAUGGAAUGAAACCAAACAUGGCAAGAAUGUUCCUUAUGAGGUGCUGACCAAGUGUUGUUACUUUGAAGCCGAUCCAUCAACCAAGAUGGCAGCCAGCGGGGGACUUAGUUUAACAUAGGAUCCUAUGGGAAAUACAUACAAAUGUUUUCUUUUAGAGAACCACUGAAUGGAAUGAAACCAAACAUGGCAUGAAUGUUCCUUAUGAGGUGCUGACCAAGUGUUGUUACUUUGUAGCCGAUCCAUCAUCCAAGAUGGCCGCCAGCGGGGGACUUAGUUUAACAAAGGACCCUAUGGGAAAUGCAUACAAAUGACUUCUUUUAGAGAACCACUGAAUGGAAUGAAACCAAACAUGGCAUGAAUGUUUCUUAUGAGGUGCUGACCGAGUGUUGUUACUUUGAAGCCGAUCCAUAAUCCAAGAUGGCAGCCAGCGGGGGACUUAGUUUAACAAAGGACCCUAUGGGAAAUGCAUACAAAUGUCUUCUUUUAGAGAACCACUGAAUGGAAUGAAACAAAACAUAGCAUGAAUGUUCAUUAGGAGGUGCUGACCAAGUGUUGUUACUUUGUAGCCGAUCCAUCAUCCAAGAUGGCCGCCAGCGGGGGACUUAGUUUAACAUAGG